GAUGAAGAACGCAGCGAAAUGCGAUAAGUAAUGUGAAUUGCAGAAUUCAGUGAAUCAUCGAAUCUUUGAACGCACAUUGCGCCCGCCAGUAUUCUGGCGGGCAUGCCUGUUCGAGCGUCAUUUCAACCAUCAAGCCCCCGGCUUGUGUUGGGGACCUGCGGCUGCCGCAGGCCCUGAAAACCAGUGGCGGGCUCGCUAGUCACUCCGAGCGUAGUAAUACAUCUCGCUCAGGGCGUGCUGCGGGUUCCGGCCGUUAAACCACCUUCAUAACCCAAGGUUGACCUCGGAUCAGGUAGGAAGACCCGCUGAACUUAAGCAUAUCAAUAAGCGGAGGA
rnacentral:misc_RNA from 1 species